UGGGGAAUAUUGGACAAUGGGGGCAACCCUGAUCCAGCAACGCCGCGUGGGGGAUGAAGGUCUUCGGAUUGUAAACCCCUGUUAAGAGGGACGAAGGCUUUCGGGCGAACAGUCCGGAAGCUUGACGGUACCUCUAGAGGAAGCCCCGGCUAACUCUGUGCCAGCAGCCGCGGUAAUACAGAGGGGGCGAGCGAUAUUCGGAAUAAUUGGGCGUAAAGCGCGCGCAGGCGGGAAAGUAAGUCUACUCUAAAAGUGCGGGGCUCAACCGCGUGAUGGGGUGGAAACUGCUUUUCUUGAGUGCCGGAGAGUAAAGCGGAAUUCCCAGUGUAGCGGUGAAAUGCGCAGAUAUUGGUAGGAACACCAGUGGCGAAGGCGGCUUUCUGGACGGUGUCUGACGCUGAGGCGCGAAAGCCAGGGGAGCGAACG
rnacentral:rRNA from 1 species